CACAUGCAAGUCGAACGAGUUGUAGCAAUACAGCUAGUGGCGGACGGGUGAGGAAUACAUAGGAAUUUACCUUUAGGUGGGGGAUAGCCCAGGGAAACUUGGAGUAAUACCGCAUGAUCUCGUGAGGGCAAAGCCGGGGACCGCAAGGCCUGGCGCCUUUAGAGGAGCCUAUGUCGGAUUAGCUUGUUGGUGAGGUAACGGCUCACCAAGGCGACGAUCCGUAACUGGUCUGAGAGGACGAUCAGUCACACUGGAACUGAGACACGGUCCAGACUCCUACGGGAGGCAGCAGUGGGGAAUAUUGGACAAUGGGCGAAAGCCUGAUCCAGCAAUACCGCGUGUGUGAAGAAGGCCUUCGGGUUGUAAAGCACUUUAAGCAGGGAAGAAAAAAUUCAAGCUAAUAUCUUGAGUCUUGACGGUACCUGAAGAAUAAGCACCGGCUAACUCUGUGCCAGCAGCCGCGGUAAUACAGAGGGUGCAAGCGUUAAUCGGAUUUACUGGGCGUAAAGCGUGUGUAGGUGGUUGGGAAAGCCAAUUGUGAAAGCCCCGGGCUCAACUCGGGAACUGCUUUUGAUACUGUCUGACUAGAAUUCGGUAGAGGGAGGCGGAACUCCAGGUGUAGCGGUGAAAUGCGUAGAUAUCUGGAAGAACACCAAUGGCGAAGGCAACCUCCUGGGCCUGAAUUGACACUGAGACACGAAAGCGUGGGGAUCAAACAGGAU
rnacentral:rRNA from 1 species